GUUGGCUCAGAAGCAGCCACUCAUUCAAAGAGUGCGUAAUAGCUCACUGGUCGAGUGAUUUUGCGCCGAAAAUUUAACGGGGCUAAACUGUACACCGAAGCUUGGGAAUAUACCUCUGGUAUGUUGGUAGGAGAGCGUCGUAUGCGGGGUGAAGUCGUAGCGAAAGCGGCGGUGGACUGCAUAGGAGUGAGAAUGCCGGAAUGAGUAGCGAGAAUUAUGUGAGAAUCAUAAUGGCCGAAAGACUAAGGUUUUAGAAGGAAGGUUCGUCCGCUUCUAGUUAGCCGGGAGCUAAGGCGAGGCCGAAAGGCGUAGUCGAUGCACAUACGGUUGAGAUUCCGUAGCCACCUUAAAUUUAAACUAAGGGACACAUUGAAAGGGAAUAACCCAGGCGUUGGUUGACCUGGGCGUAAGGGAACGAAAAUAAGUAGUGAAGUAUUCUUGGACAGUGGCGAGAAAAGCUUAGUGUAUAUUAUUAGGGUGCCCGUACUGCAAACCGACACAGGUAGUCAGGAAGAGAAUUCUAAGGCCAUCGGGAGAAGCGUUGUUAAGGAACUCGGCAAAUUGACCCCGUAACUUCGGAAUAAGGGGUGCUCACGCGAGUGAGCCGCAGUGAAUAGGUCCAGGCAACUGUUUAUCAAAAACACAGCUCUCUGCUAAAUCGUAAGAUGACGUAUAGGGGGUGACACCUGCCCGGUGCUGGAAGGUUAAGAGGAGGAGUGCAAGCCCCGAAUCGAAGCCCCAGUAAACGGCGGCCGUAACUAUAACGGUCCUAAGGUAGCGAAAUUCCUUGUCGGGUAAGUUCCGACCCGCACGAAUGGUGUAAUGAUCUGGACACUGUCUCAACAACGCACCCGGCGAAAUUGUAGUACCGGUGAAGAUGCCGGUUACCCGCGGCAAGACGGGAAGACCCCAUGGAGCUUUACUGUAACUUAAUAUUGGGUCUCGGUACUUUAUGUACAGGAUAGGCGGGAGACUUGGAAACUAGCACGCCAGUGUUAGCGGAGUCAUCCUUGGGAUACCGCUCUUAAGGUAUUGAGAUUCUAACCUGCAGCCUUGAAUCAGGUUGGGGGACAUUGUUAGGUGGGCAGUUUGACUGGGGCGGUCGCCUCCAAAAGAGUAACGGAGGCGUUCAAAGGUUGGCUCAGCAUGGACGGAAACCAUGCUUUAGAGUAUAAACGCAUAAGCCAGCCUAACUGCGAGACUGACGGGUCGAGCAGUAACGAAAGUUGGAGUUAGUGAU
rnacentral:rRNA from 1 species